rnacentral:rRNA from 1 species
UACAGAGACUGCAAGCGUUAUUCGGAUUCACUGGGCGUAAAGGGUGCGCAGGCGGUCGGGUGUGUCAGGUGUGAAAUCCCGGAGCUUAACUCCGGAACUGCGCCUGAAACUACAUGACUAGAGCAUUGGAGAGGGAAGUGGAAUUCAUGGUGUAGCAGUGAAAUGCGUAGAUAUCAUGAGGAACACCAGAGGCGAAGGCGACUUCCUGGACAAUUGCUGACGCUCAGGCACGAAAGCAUGGGGAGCAAAAGGG